rnacentral:rRNA from 1 species
AGGAUAAACGCUGGCGGCGUGCCUAACACAUGCAAGUCGAACGCGCUUACUAUCCGCGAGGAGGGUGAGCGAGUGGCGGACGGGUGAGGAACACGUGGGUGACCUACCUUUCAGUGAGGGAUACCGGCGAGAAAUUGCCGACAAGACCGCAUACGCUUCUCUUUUCAAGGGGAGAAGGAAAGCUUUUCGCAAGAGAGGCGCUGGGAGAUGGGCCUGCGGCCGAUUAGCUAGCUGGUGGGGUAAUGGCCUACCAGGGCGACGAUCGGUAGCUGGUCUGAGAGGACGAUCAGCCACACUGGGAUUGAGAACGGCCCAGACUCCUACGGGGGGCAGCAGUGAGGAAUUUUCGGCAAUGGGGGCAACCCUGACCGAGCAACGCCGCGUGCAGGACGACGGCCUUCGGGUUGUAACUGCUUUCUCUGGGACGAGCAAGGACGGUACCAGAGGAAGAAGCCCCGGCUAACUACGUGCCAGUAGCCGCGGUAA